UUUAGCUUCAGUACCACGUGCAGUCUAACUACUGAAUCACUGGAAGACGUCGGUUCAUCACUGUACACAGGCCCUCCAGUAAAAGUGAUAUCGCAUUAUGCUACCUGCCGCCGUUAUUGUUCUCGUCAUCGCUGGUGUGGCAAGGACCGGACUCUCUGCACGAAAGACCAGGGAUUCGUACGAAAGCAUUCAGAGACGCAUACGGCAGUUAGCGGAGGACUUCAAUGCUCUUCAGGAUGCCUUCGAGCCUCGACACUGCGCAGACCUGCUUCGCAACGGCCAACACAAAAGCGGAGUUUACACCGUGUUUCACAAGGCUGCUGGCUCUUCGGGACAGAAUGUAUACUGCGACAUGGACACUGAUGGAGGAGGGUGGACAUUAAGAUUCCAUAGCUUUCUACGAUAAAUUCUCGCUUUUCAUUGUGUUGGUUAGGCUUGAGAAAGAGCGGGAUUCUGCUAGCAUUUUGGAGAAAAAGUUACAUAGCUCUAUGUGUCAAGCGGGAUACAAGCUCCUUAUAUUGAAAUUGAACUUGCAUAAGCAGGCAAAAACCUGUUAAUGGACUUCUCAUAAACAGCGAACGCUAACUGGACGGAAAUUUUGUCGCAAUGACUUUUCAUAAAAUAUACUUUAUUAUAGCCGCUGCCUACCAGCGUGUCAC